rnacentral:rRNA from 1 species
CCCUAUGGGGUGCAGCAGGGUGUUGUUUACCAGGAUGCCACCGGCGGCAUUGUUGACGUGAAUCCAGCGGCGGAGCAGAUCCUGGGACUGGCGCGGGACCGGCUCCUGGGAACCAAACUGACCGAUCCGCGCUGGAGUGCCGUCGAGGAAGACGGCGCCGGCUUAUCCUGCGAGCGACACCCUACCACCGCUGCCUUGCGGACCGGCAGGCCUCAACAGGGUGUGCUGGGAAUCGUUCAUCCCGCUCGGGAACAACGCCGUUGGAUCAGCGUUCAUGCCCCACCACUGUUCCCGGAGGGGGAUGGCCAGCCCGCCCGGGUGUUCACGACUUUCGAGGAUAUCACCGACCGCAAACGCAUGGGGGAGCACUUGCGUCAGGCCCAGAAAUUGGAAUCCAUCGGUCAAUUGGCGGGAGAGC